AUGAGUUACAAAAGACCUUUUCCAAGUAAUAGUCAUCUGCAUAUAUUAUGGCAAGGAAUACACUUGGGUCUUUCUUAAAUUAUAAGCUUGACAGGGCAUGGCAGAGAGUGUCAUUCCAAAGGUUUGGUGAAUGUUUCAUGCACUGUAGGUGCCAUCAGAAUAAUAAUAAUAAAAACACCACCAUCCUAAUAAAUAAUUGGUGAAUGUUAGAGAUAAGCAACAGUCAUUAGCAUGAGUUUUCCAGCAAGCCAACAAGCAAUUUAUCUCAACAUCAGUCAUCUACAUUCUCCUAGCUGAAUCACCAUCUCUUGAAACAGCUGGUGUCUUUUGCAGUAAUGUGUAUGGGUGUGAGUAAAGAAUGGAAACUGGUCAGAAGAAAAGACUACCUUGCUAAAAUAUGGAGAAGUCUUCUUGAGAGUGGCUUUUGGAAAAGCAUUUGGAGUAAAUUACAACAGCUGAUCGUCCAGCAGAAGAGGCUCGUUGCAGGUUCUGUCAACUAGAGAAUGUCAUCUGGCGGGAUCCAGGAGGAGGGCCUUUUCUGCUGCUGCAC